AAGUGAAUAUGCCCUGCCCCACCUUAACUGAUGACAUUCCACCACAAAAGAAGUGUAAAUGGCCGGUCCUUGCCUUAAGUGAUGACAUUACCUUGUGAAAGUCCUUUUCCUGGCUCAUCCUGGCUCAAAAAGCACCCCCACUGAGCACCUUGUGACCCCCCACUCCUGCCUGCCAGAGAACAAACCCCCUUUGACUGUAAUUUUCCUUUACCUGCCCAAAUCCUAUAAAAUGGCCCCACCCCUAUCUCCCUUUGCUGACUGUCUUUUCCGACUCAGCCUGCCUGCACCCAGGUGAAAUAAACAGCCAUGUUGCUCACACAAAGCCUGUUUGGUGGUCUCUUCACACGGACGCACAUGAAAUUUGGUGCCGUGACUCGGAUCAGGGGACAUCCCUUGGGAGAUCAAUACCCUGUCCUCCUGUUCUUUGCUCCGUGAGAAAGAUCCACCUACGACCUCAGGUCCUCAGACCGACCAGCCCAAGAAACAUCUCACCAAUUUCAAAUCCGGAUACAUAUGCAGGACGUGCAGGUUUGCUAUGCAGGGAAAUGUGUGCCAUGGUGGUUUGCUGCAUCUAUCAACCCAUCACCUAGAAUUAGAAAAACCACUUUAAAAUUCACAUGGAACCCAAAAAGAGCCCAUACAGCCACGACAAUCCUAAGCAAAAAGAACAAAGCUGG